rnacentral:tRNA from 1 species
CGCGGGGUAGAGCAGUUUGGUAGCUCGCAGGCUCAUAACCUUGAGUCACGGGUUCAAUCCUGUCUCCGCAA